GAUGAAGAACGUAGCGAAAUGCGAUAAGUAAUGUGAAUUGCAGAAUUCAGUGAAUCAUCGAAUCUUUGAACGCACCUUGCGCCCUUUGGCUAUUCCGAAGGGCAUGCCUGUUUGAGUAUCGUGAACACCUCAACUCUCAUGGUUUGCCAUGAUGAGCUUGGACUUGGGGGUUUUGCUGGCCUUCGGUCGGCUCCUCUCAAACGGAUCAGCUUUCCAGUGUUUGGUGGCGUCACGGGUGUGAUAACUAUCUACGCCUGUGGUUUUCUGCCAGAUAACCUUCAGCGAUGGAGGUUCGCUGGGGCUCAUAAAUGUCUCUCUUCAGUGGAGACAGCUUUUUGGACGUUUGAUCUCAAAUCAGGCAGGACUACCCGCUGAACUUAAGCAUAUCAAUAAGCGGAGGA
rnacentral:misc_RNA from 1 species